UAAUAAUUCCGAUUGCAUAAGACAUUAAUAGUAUUAUGAGAGUGAUUUAGAUAUAUAUUGGACAGUGAUGUUUUACCAGUAUGUUUGGUAGGUUAUGAGAAUAAUAGACCCAUACUACAGGAGAUACCAGUGGUACGAAAUUUCCCUGAUGUAUUUCCAGAGGACCUUCUGGGCUUACCACCAAACUGGGGGGUAGAGUUCACCAUAGAGUUACAACC
rnacentral:lncRNA from 1 species